AACGAACGCUGGCGGCAGGCUUAACACAUGCAAGUCGAGCGCCCCGCAAGGGGAGCGGCAGACGGGUGAGUAACGCGUGGGAAUCUACCCAUCUCUACGGAAUAACGUAUGGAAACGUGUGCUAAUACCGUAUACGUCCAUCGGGAGAAAGAUCUAUCGGAGAUGGAUGAGCCCGCGAUGGAUUAGCUAGUUGGUGGGGUAAAGGCCUACCAAGGCGACGAUCCAUAGAUGGUCUGAGAGGAUGAUCAGCCACACUGGGACUGAGACACGGCCCAGACUCCUACGGGAGGCAGCAGUGGGGAAUAUUGGACAAUGGGCGCAAGCCUGAUCCAGCCAUGCCGCGUGAGUGAUGAAGGCCCUAGGGUUGUAAAGCUCUUUCACCGGUGAAGAUAAUGACGGUAACCGGAGAAGAAGCCCCGGCUAACUACGUGCCAGCCGCCGCCGUAAAAC
rnacentral:rRNA from 1 species